CAAUUAGCUUUUGCGUCUUAAUUCUUCAACAUCAUUCUAGCAGGAUUUUAAACACAAAUCAAAUAGGAAAACAAAGUGGUCUGAUUCAGUCACAGAUUAUACUUUGUUCACUGGCUAGACCGCUAAUAAAUUAUUAUUGCUACUUUUUUAGAACAAUGUGUUCAAAACUGACCAUCAACUACUGGGUUGUCUGGAAGACUGGAAAUAUAUUCUUACCUUUCAGAGACUAGUCUUUACCUUUAAGAUAUUUUAGCCUCUGAAAUGCCUAAAAGUAGGUGGUGAGCUUUAAAUGACUGCUACUCUCUCCAUGAGCUUAACAGUUCCUGACUUAAGAAUGAACAAAUCCAGGAGUUCCCGUCGUGGCACAGUGGUUAACGAAUCCGAUUAGGAAUCAUGAGGUUGCGUGGGUUUGAUCCCUGGCCUUGCUCAGUGGGUUAAGGAUCCAGCGUUGCCAUGAGCUGUGGUGUAGGUCGCAGACACGGCUCGGUUGCUGUGCCUCUGGUGUAGGCUGGCAGCUCCAGCUCUGAUUAGACCCCUAGCCUGGGAACCUCCAUAUGCCACGGGAGCGGCCCAAGAAAUGGCAAAAAGACAAAAAAAAAAAAAAAAAAAAGAACAAAUCCAUGAGUGUUUUAUUAGUUUUCACUGUAUUAAGUCCACUGCAAAAGUUUACUUUUUUCAAGUUUAAGAUACUACACACAUGGAAAAAACACAAUCCUAUGUAGACAUGAGAACAAUCACAGGAAAUGAUACCAGGUAGCAAGUCAUACUUUACAUUUCUACAAGGCAUUACAAUUUUCAGACUACUUUCAUGAUACUUUUUGUAUUUUAUUCUCAUAGUAAAUCUAUAAUGAAUGUAGAAUAAAAAAGGAAGGAGACAUAAACACAGAACUCUAAAGAUGAAAGUGACAUUAAAGUCCAUCAUAACACUUUUUUACAGAUCAGCAAAUAGAGACCAGAGGAAAAUGAGGCCCAUUGCCCUCUUGCACAGCCUGUCUGCAAGUAAAUAAAGUGAAGACUGGUCACCAGAAGCAUUAUAAAAAUGGGUCACAAAAAUAAGAGAAGAAAGAGAAACAUGAUGGCAGUAGAGGACACUAAUUAUGAUUUAACACUUUUUGGUUUCUAAAAAGCAAUUCUAUUGAACUAAAGUUUGAAAUUCAGUGUUGUUCUCUAAGGACCACUUAGCUAUGGUGGUUUUAUGCAAUUACGAGAUUCCUUAGAGAGAAAUAAUAUUUUGAGAUCUAAGUAUGUGCAAACCUCUGAAGAACAUAUAGUAGUUGUAAAUAGCAUACACACAUACACACAAAACCUUAAAAUUCACUACAUUACUAUGGAAAGGAGCCUAAACAUUCUAUAGUUUACUUGAGAAGUUAUUCAUGCAUUUCCUACACACUCAUGCUUGAUCAAUCUUCUACUCUCCCAAUCCAGAGAGAGAGUCCUAGUUGAGUAUCUUAAUAUUGUGGCCUCUUACAUGAUAAAAUUUGAAAGUAAUUUUGCCUUAAAGGACAAUAUAUUAGAAGUAUAUAUUUUCUGUUACAGUAUUCUCAAAAACAAUGCAUAGGCCAGGCCCUAACAUCUUUUAUUCAAAAGGCAAUAGCCAUUUCCAUGAUUCGGUCCAUAAUAUUUUUAAAAAUGUGCAUCUGGGAUAUCAUCAUAAGUCUAAUAAGAGACUGCAUUAUAGAAAAAAGACAAAUCUCUACAUUUGAAUCAAUACUUAUUUGUUAUCAGAAUGCAUGAUAAUAACCUCAACAUUUUAAAAAUGCUUUUUGACACCUUUUAAACAUCUGGGAAUGUAAAACACAAUGUCUGAAACACUAUGGAAAGUUUUAUGAUUCUCCUAAAAAAAUGAAAAACAAAUAUCUCUAUUUCCAUUCCAGAUCUGCACAAUAUAUUCUUGCAUCCCAUUUGCUCUGAUUCAUUUACAUUUUGCUGAGUUUUGUUUUCAUUCACUUUCAUCAAUAAAAGGAUUAAAAAAAAUCAACAACAAAAAACCCUCAAAAGAUGCUUUCAGAUGAAAUUGCAAAGAAAAUAAGUACAUGAAUUAGUGAAGCAACAUCCAAGUGUAUACAAAUGUGGCAGUUACAUCUUUUCUCAUCUUGUCCGAGGAUUAAUUGCACUGUUGAAGUUAGGCAUCCAGCCUGAUCCAUGCAGACAGGAGCCCAAGCCAGAAGCAAACUCUUUGAAUAACAACACUGCUUUCUGAUUCUUUUCACAUGGCUACAUUUUUGACAUUUCCUUCAAUGUUCUACCCAGUUGCAGUGUGACUCUGACAAAAGAUUUCUGUAGGCAUCUCUGGCACAUCUGUGGUGAGUGGCAGGUAAUGGAAAGAAGUAACAAGUCCCUUUAGUGGCUCCAAAACACCCACAGGCAUUCUGCAAACCUUUUGUGUACAUGUUGCAGGUAAAGAAUAUAAAAAAGUAGAAACCGUGACGACAAUUUUAAUAAUUUGACAGACAAUUCUAUGAUCUACUCUAACUUUAUAAAGACAAAGUCACUGACACAGGGGAGAAUGACAGGAAUACAUUCUCCCUCUGCCUCUUAAGUCUCUUUAAAUGUUUACAUGAGGGUUUUACAGGUGGAUGGAGAUGACGUUAACACUGUGUUUAUUUACUCUGACCAAGGAUGAAUUAUAAAUGUUUAAUUCAACUGCAAUGGGAUUUUCUUAGAUAUUUUUAAUUUGAUUUCACUUUUGAUACUAAAUCGCUUAUCUGAGCUCUAGAACUUCCUCCCAGGACCCUGGUAGCUGUCAGGUGUCAGUAAUCAUAGUUAGCCCUUCUGUAGUCAGUGUGACCUAAAGUUCUGUCUACAAGGUAGCAAUUAGAGUCAAGUCUCUUCUGGAAAUGCCAAUUACGGCUCUUUAUAUUCUCUGUUGAAUGUCUCCUUAAUGUAAGAAUGACUUAACAUUUUUACCCUAUCACAUCGGAAAAUAUUACUUAAAAUAGCACCCAUAGUUGGUAAUAGUGCAGGAAAGGAAGCAUGCCCAAAGAGGACGGUGAAAUGCAAAAUGGAACAACCUUUCCAGAAAACAAUCUAAUAACACAUAUCUUGAUGUGUUUAUCCUACUAUAUGCACUGAUAUUAUUUGGGGGAUAUUACCCUAUACCUUUAAAUAUUCUCUAAAACCAGAACUUUAAUAUAUGUAUGGCGUUUUGUAAUAUGAAUAUAACAUAGUUUUUCAUUGUUUCUGUAUUUGUCAAAUGUCAAUUUUUGUUAUUGUAAAUAAUGCUAUAGAGAGCAUCUUUAUAAGUAUAUUUUAAAAUUGCAUUCUAUUUAUUCCUUAGGAUAGAUGCCUAGAAGUGGAAAUAUAGCCAUUAGCAAGGUUUACCUUCAAGGAUAAUUUUGUCCUAGAAACUAAGGAAUUAUGACCAGCAAACCAAUUCCUAAAAUAUAAUUCCACUAGAUCAGAUCAUUGUUUACUAGGAAAAAUAUAUGUGGUAAAACUGACCUUGCUUAUUUACACAGCCUUGAUAAUAGGUAAUUCCUCGGAGGAAGCCAAAUCAGAUCACAUGUAUGAUUGAGUAAAUCAUUGACUCAAAAAGGACAAAUCAGGUCCUACCAAAAGGACAUUCAUUUCAAGCAAAGGCACAGUCUGCUGAGUUUAUUGCCUUCUGUCCUAGAGAAAAAAUCCUCCCCCAGGUCCAUUAAUAAAGCCCAUGAACAAAUUCUUACCAUCAUUGGUUUGCAUGAGUUUGCCUCUCUUUUGAAGCCAGAUAAACAACCUGAGUUUAUAAAACUGAAAAGCCAGAAUGUUAUGAAACAUUCUGAAGUUGCCAAAACGUACUUCCCUGAUGGGAUGAGUAGAGAUGAAACUGUCUAGAAGCUGUUCUAAAGGAAAGUGUCAUUGACCCUUAAAUUAAAACGCCAGAAUUUAGAAGUCAGUGAAUAAUGACACAUCCACUUAUCAACCUGUCAUAUUGAGAAAUAUUUAAAAUAAAAAUACUCACUGUUGGCAAGAGAACAAUAUAGCUUCAUGCUCAAACAGAUUUAGGGAAGAGCGAGAGCUGAACAAAGUUCAAGUUGAUAUUUUAAUGUGCUAUUAUGAACCAGGACUCUCCAUAAAGGGCUGUAGCUAGUAGCAUUUCUAAACUUAACCUAGCAAACUCUUCUUGUUUUAAGUGGCCUUUUGUAUUUGGCUCUUGGGUUUCUGUUGAGAACCUCAAGGGAAAACACUCUGUGGAACACUUUUAGUAAAUGUUUCUCUAGCACAGCAGUUCCCAAACAUUUUGGUCUCAAAAUCCAUUCACGCUCUCAAAAACUGUCAAGGGCUUCAAAGAGCUUUUGCUUAGGUAAGUUAUAUCCAUGGAUGUUUAGCACAUGAGAAAUUAAAAGACAAUAUUUUAAAACACUACUAAUUCAACUUAAAAUAACCAUAAUAAUCCAUUAUAUGUUAACAUAUAUAACAUAUUUUCUAAAAUGAAAAAGCUAGUGAGAAUAGUGGCAUUGUCUCAGAGUUCUGAAAAUCGUUUUAAUGUUUGGCUUCACAGAAAGCUGGUAGAUUCUCAUACCUGCUUCUGUGCUGUGUCAUGAUCUACUGUUUUGGAUUGAAGUCAGGGAAAUCCAAGAGGAAUAUUUUCUUAUUGAAAUAUAAUUGAUUUACAAUAUUAUAUUAGUUUCAGGUGCACAAAAUAGUGAUUCAAAAAUUUUUAUAGGAGUUCCCAUUGUGGCUCAGCAGGUUAAGAACCUGACUAGUAUCCACGAGGAUGCGGGCUGGAUACCUGGCCUCACUCAGUGGGUUAAGGAUCUGGCAUUGCCUCAAACUGCAGGAUCAGUCACAGAUGCGGCUCGGAUCCCAUGUUGCUGCAUGUCUCGUAGGCCGGCAGCCACAGCUCUGAUUCAACCCCUAGCCUGGGGACUUCCAUACACCACAGGUGUGGACAUAAAAAGAAAAAAAUCAUUUUUUAUGGAUUAUACACCACUUUUAGUUAUUAUAAAAUAUUGGUCAUAUUCAUUGUGCUGUACAAUACAUCCUUGCAGCUCAUUUAUUUUAUACAUAGUAGUUUGUAUCUCUUAAUCCCCACCUACUAUCUUGCCC
rnacentral:lncRNA from 1 species